rnacentral:misc_RNA from 1 species
ACGCGGCGUCCGUGAUCCCCAGCGUCAGCCGCGCGCAGAGGCCGCCGGCCUCACGGUGCCGACGUCGCCGUCCGCUCGUGCGGAUCACGAUGGCGCUCGUUGGCACACUCCUCUGCCACGUUCGAUGCGUGCUGCCACCCUCGUGUAAACACGAGGAUGCGCGCUCGAUGGCGACGGAGGCGGCGGAGGCGCCCGAGCAUCGCACGGUAUAUCUCAACAAGGAGCAGCCGGCCAACAAGUGCGUCUCCAACGCCAUCACCACCGCCAAGUACAGCGUCUUCUCCUUCCUGCCCAAGUUCUUGUUUGAGCAGUUCCGCCGCUACUCAAACAUAUUCUUCCUGUUCAUCGCGCUGCUGCAGCAAAUACCGGAUGUGUCUCCUACCGGCAAGUACACCACGCUGACGCCACUGGUGUGCAUCCUGACCAUAUCGGCCGUCAAGGAGUUCAUAGAGGACUGGAAGCGGCACCGCGCCGACGACGAGGUCAACAACCGCCAGGUGGAGGUGCUGGACGAACACAACUGGCGCUGGAAGCGCUGGGCCGAGGUGGGCGUCGGCGACUUCUGCAAAAUCCGCAGCGACCACUACUUUCCAGCCGACCUGAUGCUGCUCUCCUCCAGUGAGCCGCAGGGCUUGUGCUACAUCGAGACGGCCAACCUGGACGGGGAGACGAACCUCAAGAUCCGCCAGAGCCUGCCGGCGACGGCGCGGCUGCUGGACACGCGCGACCUGGACCAGCUGAGCGCCCGCGUCGACUGCGAGCCGCCCAGCCGGGUCCUAUACGAGUUUGUCGGCACGCUGAAGGAGACCGGCAAAUCAGAGGUGGCGCUGGGCCCGAACCAGCUGCUGCUGCGCGGCGCCAAGCUAAAGAACACCACAUGGGUGUUCGGCGCUGUCGUCUACACCGGCCACGAGACCAAGUUGAUGAAGAACUCGUCGCCGGCGCCGCUGAAGCGCUCGACGGUGGACCAGCGCACCAACACGCAGAUCCUGUUCCUGUUCGGCCUGCUGGUGGUCCUGUGCGUUAUAAGCGCGGUGGCCAGCGAGUUCUGGACGGUGCGACACCAGGCUACCGACUGGUACCUCGGCCUUGACGAGAUGUCGACUGUCAAUUUCGGAUACAACCUCCUGACGUUUAUAAUCCUGUACAACAACCUGAUUCCGAUAUCGUUGCAAGUCACCGUUGAGAUUGCUAGGUUUAUCCAGGCCCUUUACAUAAAUAUGGACCAUGAGAUGUACUACGAGCCGACGGACACGCCGGCCAUGGCUCGCACUUCCAACCUGAACGAGGAGCUGGGCCAGGUCAAGUACGUGCUCACGGACAAGACGGGCACGCUCACCCAGAACGUGAUGGAGUUUAAAAAGUGCACCAUCGCCGGCACCAAGUACAGCUCGGCCGAGGAGCUGGAUGCUGCGUUGAAGGACCGCGACCCCAGCCUGCAGUCGGGUGACGUUAUCCAGGACUUCCUGCUGAUGGUGGCGGUGUGUCACACUGUGAUCCCCGAGGAGCAGGAGCGCGCCUCCGGCAAGGUCGUCUACCACGCCGCCAGUCCAGACGAGCGCGCCCUGGUGGAGGGCGCCAGCCGCCUGGGCUACACCUUCACCACGCGCACGCCGCAGACGCUCUCGGUGGAUGUGCACGGCCAGCUGCUGCAGAUCGAGGUGCUGAACGUCCUCGAGUUCACCAGCACCAGGAAGCGCAUGUCGGUGAUCAUCCGCCAACCCAACGGGCGUAUCCAGUUGAUGUGCAAGGGCGCCGACACGGUCAUCUACGAGCGGCUGGGCGACCCGCGCUACAAGGACGAGACGCUCUCGCACCUGGCCGAGUUUGCCAGCGAGGGCCUGCGCACGCUCUGCCUGGCCGUGGCUGACAUCGGCGACCAGGAGUACACGGAAUGGAUGGAGACCUACCACAAGGCGUCGACGGCGAUCCAGUGCCGCGAGGAGAAGAUCGAGGACGCUGCCCGGCUGAUCGAGACCAACCUGGUGCUGCUCGGCGCCACCGCCAUCGAGGACAAGCUGCAGGACCAGGUGCCCGAGACCAUCGAGUCGCUGCUGGCGGCCGAUAUUCACGUCUGGGUGCUGACCGGCGACAAGCAGGAGACGGCCAUCAACAUCGGCCACUCGUCCCGCCUGCUCCACUCCAAGAUGCCGCUGCUGCUUCUCAACGAGGACGGACUGGACCGGACACGCGCCGUGGUGACGGAGCGGCUGAACGAGAUGCGGGAGCACCGCGAGGAGGCCGGCCAGGUGGCGCUCAUCAUCGACGGCCGAACGCUGCAGUACGCGCUGACGCACGAGCUGCGCGCCGAGUUCAUGGAGCUUUGCCUGGGCUGCCGCAGCGUCAUCUGCUGCCGCGUCAGUCCCGGCCAGAAGGCUGAGAUCACCGAGCUGGUGACGCAGCAGACCAAGGCCGUCACGCUGGCCAUCGGCGACGGCGCCAACGACGUGGCCAUGAUCCAGGCGGCGCACGUGGGCGUGGGCAUCGCCGGCGUGGAGGGCCUGCAGGCGGCGCACGCCUCGGACUACGCCAUCGGCCAGUUCCGCUUCCUGGCCCGCCUGCUGCUCGUGCACGGCGCCUGGAACUACAGCCGGCUGACGAACGUCAUCCUGUACAGCUUCUACAAGAACAUCUGCCUGUACGUGGUGGAGCUGUGGUACGCCAUCUACUCCGGCUGGUCCGGGCAGGUGGUAUUCGAACGCUGGACCAUCGCCGCCUACAAUCUGCUCUUCACCUCCGUGCCGCCGCUCAUCAUGGGCUUCAUCGACCGCUCGUGCAGCGCCGAGACGCGUAUGAAGUACCCCCAGCUCUACAAAACCUCACAGCAGGGACAGCUCUUCAGCGUCCAGGUUUUCUGGCUGUGGAUCAUCAACGCGUUGGUACACUCGGUGAUGCUGUUCUGGCUGUCGUUCGGCGCCAUGGAGCAGGACGUGGCGUGGUCCAGCGGCAGGAAUGCUGGCUACCUCAUGCUCGGCAACAUGGUCUACACGUACGUGGUGGUGACGGUGUCGCUGAAGGCUGGUCUGGAGAUGAAGGCCUGGACGUGCCUGACCCACCUGGCCAUCUGGGGCUCGAUCGUCGUCUGGUUCGUCUUUCUCUUCGUGUACGCCCAGCUGCCGUUGGCGGACGACAUCCUCGGCCUGCACACCAUGAUCUUCAGCUCGCCCGUCUUCUGGUUUGGCCUGCUUCUGGUGCCGACCGUCACCAUACUGCCAGACGUGCUGUUCAAGAGCGUCGUCAACACCGUGAGCACGUCGCUGACGGACAAAGUGCGGGAGAGCGAGAUCAACUCCAAGGACCCGGCCGUUCUGCUGGCCGGAGACGGCAAGCAAAAGCUGACGGAGACGGCGCGGCUGCUGCGCAACGUCAAGAACGUGUUCCGACGCACCACCACCCGCGUCGACCUGGAGGUAGAGCUCUCCCAUGGAUAUGCGUUCUCUCAGGAAGAGGGUGGGGCCGUGGCCCAGGCUGCUAUAAUUAGAGCGUAUGACACAACUCGGCCCAAACCCACCGGCAUGUAACUUGGCCUUGGGCGGGCUCGCGAUGCUGCCAGCGCAAGACUCGACGUUCGCGUCGGCAAAAGGUCGGCAUUCAAGGUCUCCGUGGAUGUGUGGCACGAGCCCCAAGACCACCGCACUUAAGAUGUUUCUGCGAGUCCAUCGAGGCACACGUGUUCCUCCCCGGCAUGCCACGACGUGCCCGAGCAUCGGGUCGCGCAGGUGACUCCCAAGGUCGACGGGCGUGACGUGGGGCCCGACGAUCGCCACCUGUCGGGCCACAGCGGGAUCCACCUGACGGCCCACCCGUGCACUCUCCGCUGUUGUGUGCGCCGCCGCGGGGCCGUGCCGUGCCGUCUCCGGGUGCGGUGCGGCGGGCGCCGCCGCGGCCGCACACUCCCGUCGGGGUGGGACGAUGGCGCGACGCUCGGACGGCCUGGGGGCACCGCCCUGCCCAAUCAGGCGCCCCUGCCGCGUCGGCGGCGCUGAUCGACGGCGUGUCUGCCGUCGGCUGGUCUGCUGCCAGCCGACGGCGUCCGUGCCCCCCCCCCCCCCCCCUCCCACCGACCAUCGCCGGCGCCGGGACGGCGAGGGCAGCCAACUGCAUGGCAGCCCAGCGUGGGCAGGACUCGGGCAUUACCGGAGCGGGCGGAGGGCAGUGGGGCUGGGAAGUGCUGUGAGUUGCGCACGCUGGCGGAGGAGGCGCGACACCGCUCGAAGAACUGCGAAGGAAUGCACGUUUGAUAUCGACGAAGAUCAAUCUAAUCGGUUGAUUUCACAACAGGCUUGUUCGAUUCGCUUGCGGUGGUUUUGUUGAUGCAUUCGCCUGGUACAAAUGUGUUCUGAUCUCAGUUGUUUUACGCGUUCGGUCGUGGGCGACUCGCUGGAGGGUACGCUUCGCGCGCAGCGUGCGCGCAUGGAUGGGGAACACUAUGUUGGGGUGGUUGGCUACGGCGGUCGUCAGUCGACUGGCGAGAGUUGUCUGGAAAGAGGCGUGCUUGCGCUCCCGCUGAUGCAUUAAAGUCUUCUCGGGCGAGGGACGUUUGUUAUACCGUGUGAUUUGUUCGAUGCCCGUGGUACGGGGCCGAGGCGCGCUGUCCCCGUUCGCGGCGCAGGCUCGCCGGGGCUCGCGAUUUUUAUUAUGUUGUUUCUCUCGGCUAUGCGUUGCUCGCUGGUGUCGGCUGCCGCAGAGCAACACCGUUCUGGUCAUGACAAGGUUGCACAGGUACCGAGUCGUGGGCGCGCGCGAGUGAUCCGAGCCCGGGCGUCGUGGCUUCCCAUCGGGAGAAGUAUCAUGCCCUUUCUGUGCGAAUUCAUGUAUCAAUACAUGUGCAUACCGCU